AGCUUGCUUCUUUUAUGUUAGCGGCGGACGGAUGAGUAACACGUGGGGAA
rnacentral:rRNA from 1 species